rnacentral:rRNA from 1 species
GAUGAACGCUGGCGGCGUGCCUAAUACAUGCAAGUCGAGCGAACGGACGAGAAGCUUGCUUCUCUGAUGUUAGCGGCGGACGGGUGAGUAACACGUGGAUAACCUACCUAUAAGACUGGGAUAACUUCGGGAAACCGGAGCUAAUACCGGAUAAUAUUUUGAACCGCAUGGUUCAAAAGUGAAAGACGGUCUUGCUGUCACUUAUAGAUGGAUCCGCGCUGCAUUAGCUAGUUGGUAAGGUAACGGCUUACCAAGGCAACGAUGCAUAGCCGACCUGAGAGGGUGAUCGGCCACACUGGAACUGAGACACGGUCCAGACUCCUACGUGAGGCAGCAGUAGGGAAUGUUCCGCAAUGGGCGAAAGCCUGACGGAGCAACGCCGCGUGAGUGAUGACGGUCUUCGGAUCGUAAAACUCUGUUAUUAGGGAAGAACAUAUGUGUAAGUAACUGUGCACAUCUUGACGGUACCUAAUCAGAAAGCCACGGCUAACUACGUG